rnacentral:rRNA from 1 species
CCUACGGGAGGCAGCAGUGAGGAAUAUUGGUCAAUGGCCGAGAGGCUGAACCAGCCAAGUCGCGUGAGGGAAGACGGCCCUACGGGUUGUAAACCUCUUUUGUCGGGGAGCAAAGCGAGUCACGUGUGACUCUUUGAGAGUACCCGAAGAAAAAGCAUCGGCGAACUCCGUGCCAGCAGCCGCGGUAAUACGGAGGAUGCGAGCGUUAUCCGGAGUUAUUGGGUUUAAAGGGUGCGCAGGCGGAGGUGCAAGUCAGCGGUAAAAUUGCGGGGCUCAACCCCGUACUGGUGGUGAAACUUCAUCCGUUGAGUGUGCGAGAAGUAGGCGGAAUGCGGGGUGUAGCGGUGAAAUGCAUAGAUAUCACGCAGAACUCCGAUUGCGAAGGCAGCAUACCGGCGCGCAACUGACGCUGAUGCACGAAAGCGUGGGUAUCGAACAGGAUUAGAUACCCGUGUAGUC